rnacentral:rRNA from 1 species
AGCAGUAGCCGCGGUAAUACGAAGGGUGCAAGCGUUAAUCGGAAUUACUGGGCGUAAAGCGUGCGUAGGCGGUGAGUUAAGUCUGCUGUGAAAUCCCCGGGCUCAACCUGGGAAUGGCAGUGGAUACUGGCUCGCUAGAGUGUGUCAGAGGAUGGUGGAAUUCCCGGUGUAGCGGUGAAAUGCGUAGAGAUCGGGAGGAACAUCUGUGGCGAAAGCGGCUCACUGGACCAUAACUGACGCUGAGGCGCGAAAGCUAGGGGAGCAAACAGGAUUAGAUACCCGAGUAGUCCCUGUCUCUUAUAA